rnacentral:hammerhead_ribozyme from 1 species
AUGCGAAACCGCCCAACGCGGGCGGUCGUCGGAUGGUGGUUCAUCCGGCUUGACAAGCAGCCACAG